rnacentral:rRNA from 1 species
AGGGUGUAAACGCUGCAGACUUGGUGUUGGAAGUCCUUUGGGGGCAUUCAGUGCCGGAGAGAAGUUGUUAAGUCUGCUACUUGGGGAGUACGUCCGCAAGGAUGAAACUUAAAGGAAUUGGCGGGGGAGCACCGCAACGGGAGGAGCGUGCGGUUUAAUUGGAUUCAACACCGUAAACUUACCAGGGAAGACUGUUACAUGAAGGCCGAGAUGAAGACUCUGCUAGAUUUUCAGAGAGGUGGUGCAUGGCGUCAGUGACU